rnacentral:lncRNA from 1 species
GUAAAUAAAGGAAGGGCAUGAACAGAAGCCAGCUGCCAUCCUGCUUGGUGAGGCCCACCUGGUGAGAAACUGAAGCAUCUUGUCAGUAGCAAUGUGAGUGAGCUUGGGAACAGAUCUUCCAUACCAGUCAAAUCUUCAGAUGACUGUAAUCCCAGCCGACAUUUUGACUGCAACUUUAUGAGCUAGAACCGCACAGCUAAGCUGCUCUUAGAUUUCUGACUCAGAAGCUGUGUGAGCAUAAGUGCAUUGUUAUCAAUUGCUAAGUUUUGAGAUGAUUUGUUGUAGAUAAAUAAUAUACCAUAGAAUCAUGCUUGAGUUGCUCUUUUCAAAACCAGACCCUUCUUUAAUUCCGUGUAUCCCAUCAGCUCCUGUCACAUUUCCCUUUUCCUUUUUAAAACAUUUCCAUUUCUUACUUUGCUGUAUUUUUUCAGUCCAUUUCAGACUUUUGUUCUUACCACUCUAUUCAAAUUGCUCGUGUCAAAGUCACUGAAGACUUCAAUGUUACAUCCAAUAGUAAAUUUAUACAUACAUUUUUUAUCACAGUUGGCCUCUCCGGUUGGUAAUAUUUAACUUGAAGCAUUGUCUUUGCAUGGUUUCCAGGAAAAUCCAGUUUCCAUUUUUCAUUUCUCCUUCUCCUCAUCUUUCAGUGUUGCGUUUCCCUAGAGCCGUGUUUUGAUUAGUUAUUCCGAUUCUACACCUACUGAUUGUUCAGUUACACCAUACUGAAUAACAUUUGAAAAGUCAAGCAAUGGAUAAAGUUUCCCUGAACAU